rnacentral:lncRNA from 1 species
GCUCCUGCUUCUCUGUUCUGCAAGGUCUGUCACCUGCCUCAGGCCACCUUCCAUCCUCCAAAACCAGUGGAUGCCUCUCACUUGCCAUUGCUUGACCCUGUAGGCUGUGCCUUUUAGAAGAGGGAGCAGGGUUUGCCCCAACUCUGCCUUUGUUCUUGGGGGGAUGAGCGGAGGGAGGCUCAGGUCCCUUCCUCCACAUCCCUUCUUCCCUCAGGCGUGGCCACAGCAGACCUAGAUAGGCCCUGAGGUGCCGACAGCUUCUACCUGUCCUGGCCCAGAUGUUCUCUCUUAUUUUUCUCUCCUUCAGUUUUCUUCAUGUGAUUGAAGUGUAACACACACAGAAACAUGCCUGAGCCAGUGGGGCCAACCUUAGAUGCUCUUUGUGCCUGGUGUCCUUGACUCCCUGCCCUUGCCUGUGGUUGUCUGGGUGGGUUAUCCUCGGCCUGGAGCGUUCCAUUGAGUGAC